AUUGUUCAAAUAAAAAAUGUGAGUAGGGUCUGCAGUUUCUCUUCUUUAUUCUGUUGCAAUUGCUAUAAAAUUGGCUUGAUUUUCUAUUUCGUUGUUGAUGAUUUUAUUGUUUGCAUGGAUGUUGUUUCUGGUUGAGAUUUAUGUGGUUAAUGUUGCAGAAAUAGGAAAGGAAGAUGAAGUAUCGGGAAAUAUUGGUUCUGGUUCUAUGUUUGCUUGGGUUUGUUCUUGGAGCGUAUGGAUUGUUGGAAAGGCAGUGAAUAAUUUCUUAAAGAAAAUGGGAAUAUCAUUACAUUUUCACCCAUAGGUAAAGUGUUUGGCUCUAAUGAAAGUGGAAUUCAAUUGGGUAAAGUUAAAAGUGUUUGAUAGAGGGUGUUUGAUACAGUAGUCGGGGAAAUUGCAAUUAUUACGAACUGAACCAAGUUCCACAACAGGGCUGAUCAUAGUUACGCCAGUUGAAGAUUCAAAAUCCACGUGUUGGGUGUUCUUGAUAUUGCUUGUAGAAUGAUUGAAGUCAUAUCAAACUGAAAGCUAAGCGAUUGUGUAGAAAGUCAGACGAUCGUUGAAGGUUUGAGAAGGCGUUUAAGAUUUCUUAUUUAAGUUUUGUAUUAUGAUCUUGUUUCAUGUACCGUUG